CCUACGGGAGGCAGCAGUGGGGAAUCUUGGACAAUGGGGGCAACCCUGAUCCAGCCAUGCCGCGUGUGUGAAGAAGGCCUUCGGGUUGUAAAGCACUUUCAGCAGGGAGGAAGGCUUACCCAUAAUACGGGUGAGUACUUGACGUUACCUGCCGAAGAAGCACCGGGUAAUUUCGUGCCCGCCGCCGCGGUAAUUCGAAAGGUGCAAGCGUUAAUUGGAAUUACUGGGCGUAAAGCGCGAGUCGGCGGUGUGUUAAGUCGGAUGUGAAAGCCCCGGGCUCAACCUUGGAAUUGCAUCCGAUACUGGCACGCUAGAGUUCAGUAGAGGGAGGUGGAAUUUCCGGUGUAGCGGUGAAAUGGGUAGAGAUUGGAAGGAACACCCGUGGCGAAGGCGGCCUCCUGGACCGACACUGACGGUGAGGUGGGAAAGCGUGGGGAGCAAACCGGAUUAGAUACCCUGAUAGUUCCCCCCGUAAACGAUGUUUAAUAGCCGUCGGGGUCCUUAGUGACUUUGGUGGCGCAGCUAACGCGAUAAGUAGACCGCCUGGGGAGUACGGCCGCAAGGUUAAAACUCAAAUGAAUUGACGGA
rnacentral:rRNA from 1 species